rnacentral:tRNA from 2 species
CUGGACGUGUUCAAGGAGAACAGCUCGGCUGUAAACCGAGUGUAGGGCGGUUCGAUUCCGCCCGUCCAGA